rnacentral:rRNA from 1 species
AUUGAACGCUGGCGGCAUGCCUUACACAUGCAAGUCGAACGGCAGCACGGGAGCAAUCCUGGUGGCGAGUGGCGAACGGGUGAGUAAUAUAUCGGAACGUGCCCAGUCGUGGGGGAUAACGUAGCGAAAGCUACGCUAAUACCGCAUACGAUCUAUGGAUGAAAGCGGGGGAUCGCAAGACCUCGCGCGAUUGGAGAGGCCGAUAUCAGAUUAGGUAGUUGGUGAGGUAAAGGCUCACCAAGCCGACGAUCUGUAGCUGGUCUGAGAGGACGACCAGCCACACUGGGACUGAGACACGGCCCAGACUCCUACGGGAGGCAGCAGUGGGGAAUUUUUGGACAAUGGGCGCAAGCCUGAUCCAGCAAUGCCGCGUGCAGGAUGAAGGCCUUCGGGUUGUAAACUGCUUUUGUACGGAACGAAACGGUGAGCUCUAAUACAGUUUGCUAAUGACGGUACCGUAAGAAUCAGCACCGGCUAACUACGUGCCAGCCGCCGCGGUAA